AGGUAUGAGGGUAGUCAGGUUGGGAUAUCUGUUAGCUCAUUGAUGGCCAGGGUUGGUUUGACUAAUCUAGUUGGAUAGGCAGGUGUCUCUUCCUCCAUCACGACCCCAGCUGCAUCCCUUCCAAAGCUGUGUAGUUGGAAAAAAAAAAAAAGAACACCUUCCCUGAUGGAGGAGGACUGGUCUUUGUCAAGGGUAUAUGAGUAGCUGUGUACCCCUUGUAGAACCUUCAAGCAAGCUCUCAAUGUGCUUGAUUUGGAAUUCUCUGCUGUAACUAGGCAUUUUAUUGUUUAAUUAUACCAGUGACUGGACCUAGAGGGCCUCGUAAAU
ensembl:misc_RNA 7SK 7SK RNA